rnacentral:rRNA from 1 species
CCUACGGGAGGCAGCAGUCGGGAAUCUUGCGCAAUGGGCGAAAGCCUGACGCAGCAACACCGUGUGGGUGACGAAGGCCUUCGGGUCGUAAAGCCCUGUUGUUGGGGACGAAGGGUUAGGGGUUAAUAGCCCCGAGCCUGACGGUACCCUUCGAGGAAGCCCCGGCUAACUACGUGCCAGCAGCCGCGGUAAUACGUAGGGGGCGAGCGUUGUCCGGAAUUAUUGGGCGUAAAGAGCGUGUAGGCGGCCCGGUAAGUCCGCCGUGAAAGCUUAGGGCUCAACCCUAAGUUUGCGGUGGAUACUGUCGGGCUAGAGGGUGGUAGAGGCGAGUGGAAUUCCCGGUGUAGCGGUGAAAUGCGCAGAUAUCGGGAGGAACACCAGUAGCGAAGGCGGCUCGCUGGGCCAUACCUGACGCUGAGACGCGAAAGCGUGGGGAGCGAACAGGAUUAGAUACCCUGGUAGUCCACGCCGUAAACGUUGGGCGCUAGGUGUGGGGGACUUUCCACGUCCUCCGUGCCGCAGCUAACGCAUUAAGCGCCCCGCCUGGGGAGUACGGCCGCAAGGCUAAAACUCAAAGGAAUUGACGGGGGCCCGCACAAGCGGUGGAGCAUGUGGUUCAAUUCGAUGCAACGCGAAAAACCUUACCUGCCCUUGACAUCUAGGGAAUCUCACAGAGAUGUGGGAGUGCCGCAAGGAACCCUAAGACAGGUGCUGCAUGGCUGUCGUCAGCUCGUGUCGUGAGAUGUUGGGUUAAGUCCCGUAACGAGCGCAACCCUCGUCUCUAGUUGCCAUCAUUCAGUUGGGCACUCUAGAGAGACUGCCGGUGACAAACCGGAGGAAGGUGGGGAUGACGUCAAGCCCUCAUGGCCUUUAUGGGCAGGGCUACACACGUGCUACAAUGGCCCGGUACAAAGGGUUGCCAAAGCGCAAGCUGGAGCUAAUCUCAAAAACCGGUCGUAGUCCGGGAUCGGAGUCUGCAACUCCGACCUCCGGUGAAGUCGGAAUC